UUAAGAGCUUGCUCUUAUGAAGUUAGCGGCGGACGGGUGAGUAACACGUGGGUAACCUGCCCAUAAGACUGGGAUAACUCCGGGAAACCGGGGCUAAUACCGGAUAACAUUUUGAACCGCAUGGUUCGAAAUUGAAAGGCGGCUUCGGCUGUCACUUAUGGAUGGACCCGCGUCGCAUUAGCUAGUUGGUGAGGUAACGGCUCACCAAGGCAACGAUGCGUAGCCGACCUGAGAGGGUGAUCGGCCACACUGGGACUGAGACACGGCCCAGACUCCUACGGGAGGCAGCAGUAGGGAAUCUUCCGCAAUGGACGAAAGUCUGACGGAGCAACGCCGCGUGAGUGAUGAAGGCUUUCGGGUCGUAAAACUCUGUUGUUAGGGAAGAACAAGUGCUAGUUGAAUAAGCUGGCACCUUGACGGUACCUAACCAGAAAGCCACGGCUAACUACGUGCCAGCA
rnacentral:rRNA from 1 species